CUCUGACAUCUGUUUUGGGUUCUCAGCCUCAGCUGGCCCCACUGCCCUUUCUCCUGCGAUGACUCACAGGCCCCAUUCAGGCCACCGAGUGGCAGGUAUAGAGUGUCUCACCUCGGAGUACUGGGGAUGAGGGGUGAGCGUCCGGGCAGCAGGCGAGCCCCCAAGGCUGGCCCGCUGACACCGCUGGCGGCAAAAAUUUCUACGGCAGUUUCUCUUGAACCAGGCAGAAAACAACCCCUGAGGCUGCUCGGUGCUCCCUAGUCUCCUGGUUUGCAUUGCACAUCCAUUUUGAGCCUGCUGCUACUGAUGAGAAAAUGACCUCAAACAACUGCCCACUAAAGGUCCCAUGUUGUGACGAUGCCGGGGGCUUUCUGCAUAGCGCUCCGCUUCUCAGACUGAGCAGCUUCUGGAGUUUUGUACAAUGCCUGGGCCUGAGGAAACCUGCCAGGAUAUUCCUGGUAGGAUGAAUGAUCACCCCCCCGUAACAGACAGAGACACCCAGAGCAGAGACAGAGUUCACACUGUGGGAUCUGACUCAAUGUUUGAAUUCUUAGGAGCUCACCACUUCAUUGGAUUUCUCAUGACUGAAAAAAAGAGACCACUAGAAUCUGGAUGAGAUGAGAAUUUAGGUGCUGUUUUAGAUUCCCCUAGAUUAGGUGGAUACCCAAAAGAGUGUGUGGAAAAACUGCAGGGAGGGCCGGGCGCGGUGGCUCAUCCCUGUAAUCCCAGCACUUCAGGAGGACGAGGCAGGCGGAUCAUCUGAGGUCAGGAGUUCGAGACCAGCCUGACCAACAUGGAGAAACCCUAUCUCUACUAAAAAUACAAAAGUACCCGGGCAUGGUGGCACAUGCCUGUAAUCCCAGCUACUCUGGAAGGCUGAGGCAGGAGAAUCGCUUGAACCCAGGAGGUGGAGGUUGCAGUGAGCCAAGAUCGCACCACUGCACUCCAGCCUGGGCAACAAGAGUGAAACUUGGUCUCAAAAAAAAAAAAAAAAAAAAAAACCUGCAGGGAGUCUGAGUCCUCUGAAAUGGGAUGAAAAAUUUAUAUGUAAAAAUUGUGUAUAUUUCCUCCAGCCCCAGGAAGAGAGCCCUGUGUAUUCUGUUGGACAGAUCUGCUGAUUUUCAAGUUUCCAAGACUCCUCCAGACUUAAGAAGUACUGUUUUAUAUUAAAUAUUUUGCAAAGGUAAUUUUAAGAGGGAGCAUUGGUUUCCCUCAAUCACAGGCUCUGCAAAAUACAAUGCGCUGUCUACUGUAUACUUUGCCACAUGGAGCCUGGCUGCUUGACUCAUGUAACUCAACGUAAACAGUAACUGGGAGAGGACACACACGAGCAGGCAGGGUAUGCCCACAGGGUCGCUGCUUGACAUGGCUAUGCUGCGGCUAGCGUAUGGCUCUCCCUUGGAUGGAUCUAUUCUGUUAAUACCUCUGUCCCAGAAUUUGUAGUCCCAAAGUGGUGCUCUGGGAGGACGUAUUAAUGAAAAGAAAGAGCAUAAAUGAGAACCUUAAAGAGUUUACAGGGUUCAGGCUUGAUAAACCUCUUGGGUAAGAAAGGUAGGUAGAUAUAGAGCAAGAUUUGCAUCCAUCACAUUGGGAAGAAUGUACACUGGCCUGUGGGUACAAACCCCUUUCUGCCAGGUAGGGAAGGUUCUUGGGGGAAAGGUGGUUGUCAUAAUACAUCUUAAACAAUAACAAAGAUAACAGAAUCCCAUAGUUUCCCUUUCUGGAGUUGAUGUUUGGAUGCAAAUUACAGGCAUGUUUUGCCUUAAACAAAUCCAGUGUUAGGCCGGCGCGGUGGCUCAUGUCUGUAAUCCCAGCACUUUAGGAGGCCAAAGCAGGCAGAUUGCUUGAGCUCAGGAGUUCAAGACCAGCCUGGGCAACAUGGCAAAAUCCUGUCUCCACAAAAAAAUACAAAAAUCA
rnacentral:lncRNA from 1 species